GAUGAACGCUGGCGGCGUGCCUAACACAUGCAAGUCGAACGGACGCUUUGAGAAGAGUCUUCGGAUGAUUCUUAAAGUUGUUAGUGGCGGACGGGUGAGUAACGCGUGGGGAACCUGGCCUUUGUCCGGGGGAUAGCAGCUGGAAACGGCUGGUAAUACCGCAUAAGACCACGAAGCCGCAUGGCUUUGCGGUAAAAGAUUUAUCGGACAGAGAUGGACCCGCGUCUGAUUAGCCAGUUGGCAGGGUAACGGCCUACCAAAGCAACGAUCAGUAGCCGGCCUGAGAGGGCGGACGGCCACAUUGGGACUGAGACACGGCCCAGACUCCUACGGGAGGCAGCAGUGGGGAUAUUGCACAAUGGAGGAAACUCUGAUGCAGCGACGCCGCGUGAGUGAUGAAGUAUUUCGGUAUGUAAAGCUCUAUCAGCAGGGAAGAAAGGCCCCGAAAGGGGAGAUGACGGUACCUGAGUAAGAAGCCCGGCUAACUACGUGCC
rnacentral:rRNA from 1 species